CGUAGGCGGCAAGCGUUGUCCGGAUUUAUUGGGUUUAAAGGGUGCGUAGGCGGCUUUGUAAGUCAGUGGUGAAAUACUCCAGCUCAACUGGAGAGGUGCCAUUGAUACUGCAGAGCUAGAGUACUGAUGAGGUAGGCGGAAUGGACGGUGUAGCGGUGAAAUGCUUAGAUAUCGUCCAGAACACCGAUAGCGAAGGCAGCUUACUAAAGAGUAACUGACGCUGAGGCACGAAAGUGUGGGGAUCAAACAGGAUUAGAUACCCUGGUAGUCCACACUGUAAACGUUGAUCACUAGAUGUUGGCGAUACACUGUCAGCGUUCCAGCAAAAGCGAUAAGUGAUCCACCUGGGGAGUACGCCCGCAAGGGUG
rnacentral:rRNA from 1 species